rnacentral:rRNA from 1 species
UUCGCCGCUCGCGACGUCUUGAGAAGUCCACUGAACCUUAUCAUUUAGAGGAAGGAGAAGUCGUAACAAGGUUUCCGUAGGUGAACCUGCGGAAGGAUCAUUGUCGAAAACCUCGGUGAGGAGGACCGCGAACCUGUCAACGAACGUCGCCGGGCCGGGGCCUUGCCUCGGACCGACGCAGUCCCCGCCCCCGUGGCGUGGACGAUCGACCCACAACCUCCGGCGCGGUGGGCGCCAAGGAACACGAAAGUCGCGGGCGGCCGUGAUUUUGUCCCGGCCGCGCCGUAGUUGCUCGGAACCCAACGACUCUCGGCAACGGAUAUCUCGGCCCUCGCCUCGAUGAAGAACGUAGCGAAAUGCGAUACGUGGUGUGAAUUGCAGAAUCCCGCGAACCAUUGAGUCUUUGAACGCAAGCUGCGCCCGAGGCCUUUUGGACGAGGGCACGCCUGCCUGGGCGUCACGCCAUCGUCGCUCCGCGCCCCCGCGCACGAGCGGCGGAGCCGGAUGCGGACUUUGGCCCCCCGUGCCCCCGGGCGCGGUCGGCCGAAGAGCGGGCCGUCGGCGGUGGUCGGACACGACGGGGGGUGGUGCCUCGAGCAGAAAGCCGAACGUCGUGCCCCGGCCGCGGAGACGAGCCUCGGAGGACCCCCCCUCACCGAUAAUAAUAAUCGUUUUGCCUUGGAUUGCGACCCCAGGUCAGGCGGGGCGACCCGCCGAGUUUAAGCAUAUAAAUAAGCGGAGGAGAAGAAACUUACGAGGAUUCCCAUAGUAACGGCGAGCGAACCGGGAUCAGCCCAGCUUGAGAAUCGGGCGGUCGCGCCGUCCGAA